AUUCCCCUGCACGAGGGCAUAUGAUCUUGGCAGGAAUCACAGCCCCUGUAAGCUUCAUUUAAGUUUGCAAAGCCUAUGCCAUCAGGCCACCUUGCUGAAGUUUCUGCCAGCCCUGGUUCUACAACCCAAGACCUCAACAUGAAAUCUAAAGUGCCUUGUUCCACAUUAGAGAGCCCAUGCUAAAAGAAUAUUUUGUUCUGGAGACCUUGACUUACGUGCAUCAGUUUGACCUCUGAAGAGGCUGAAGGCUGAGUCUGAGGCUCCUUGGGUUGCUACAUGACCUUAGGACACUUUCCAUGUCCUGUGACUGACCACAGAAUCAUUGAGUUGUCUGGAAUCAAGAUGCACACUGCUGACUAGUUCACCUAGAUGGAGAACAAAGUCCUACAUGAUGAGUCUAUUUCUUUGAACACUUUGAGUUGAUUAUUUAGAAAAACCACCGGUGUCUCCAGAUAAGAAUGAACUGUGGGAGUCUAUUGAAUAACAAAGACCAGAAUUCAAUCUGUGUGAAAGGCAUGAGCUGGGAAUGAGAAAUGAAAUUGAUUUGGUCCAGUCCUCACUAUACUUCAAAUGCUGUCCAUCAAACAUGCCUGAGAGGAGCUGUAAGCAUAACUCUAACAUGCUGUUCAAGAUGAAGAGACUCCUGCAGCUGCUUCGAUCAAUCCACAAUGAUCCUCUCUAGUUGACA
ensembl:lincRNA Gm37190 predicted gene, 37190